GGUGAAAGGCGCUUCCUCAGCCCGCGCGGGAGACCCAGAAGUAGUCCUGAGUUAGCGCUCGUCCUCCCGCCGGUCCACCACCACCAAGUGUAGCCCGGGCCCGGCCUAUUUCCUCAGGCACAGCCCCAGAGCCGGGGGGCCACCCCCUACCCCGGGAGCCCUUCGCCAAGCGCGCAGCUCCAGACCAGAAGCAGCCGCUACGACCCAGAGCUCCGGGUGGGGUAAAGAGAUUCCUUUUACUCACCGCCUCCAAGAUUGCCUCGGGAUUCGCGAAAGCCCCCGAAGGAAAGCGAGCACUUUCUGAGGCUGUGAAGGGACGGCUGCUCGCUUUUCUCUUUCGCCCUUUUCCCUCAGCAGAGUGCCAAAUCCUCGGUGGGAAAGCCGACCCCUCCGGACAGCCCGCGUUUUAAGGCCGGGGGCUGCCGGCCGGGCUCGUAGGCGGCCGGACCCGCCCCGCCCGGGAGCCCGCGCGACGUCACGCGGGAGUUCCAGUUGCGUCACGCCCCUUCCUCCCGCUGCCCAGCGCGGCGGCGCACUUCGUGCACUAGCUGAGGAGCGGACUCCUUGGCAGAAGAAUCUUUUCUUGCUGCUCUCCUAGGAUCUACCAACCAGAGAUUCUAAUGUGAUAUGUUUGGAAUGGAGUUAUCGAUCUGCAUUUUUAAUAGGCAUUCCUCCAGGUUUCUACCGUCUGUGGAACAUGGAAUCAAACCAGAAUAUGUUGGCACAACAGGCCAGUAAAACCGGUUCUUCUGUAGAUCCAGAACCUGUCCAACCAGUCUGUAUCAAAGGCUAGCCCAACGUGCUGCAGCGGCUCAGCUCUGCUAAGCUUGUACUGGGCUUUGGUCCCAGCUCCAAAAUAUCUCAUUAUCUGUAUGUGAAUAUCCCCAAAUUUGAAAAAUUCAAAAUCUGAAACACUUCUGGUCCCAAGCAUUUGAGCAGAUGUAAAAAGAGACAAUGUCAAGUUGAAAACAAAAGAUCUUGGAAGACAGCCCAGACCUCCCCAUUUCUGCUUUACAUCAA